UUGCGCUUGGAGACUCGCUGACGUCAUGGCUCACGUGACGCUCGGCGCUCUUCAGUGUUUCUGUGUCUCUGGAUCUGGAGUCAGACGCGCUCGCGCUGGAUGUGAAUCGCAUCUCUGUCUCUGAGAACCCGUUUUGCGUUUAAAACUAAAUGCAUUUCCAUCCGCUUAUAGUAGCAUAUAUGUGAGAGUUUUAUUUGUAUUCCCGAUCAAUUUUUGUCCUUUUUUUUAGGUCAUUCCUUUAUUUAAUAGUUUCAAUAUGUUACAAUGCCGGCCGUGAAUAAUUAUUGCAUGAUGGAUUCGAAUGUUUUAAAACGAUUGAACAUUGAAUUUUUCACACCGUGAUCUGGAUUGUAGGCUACUGUUUUUUUUCUCCAUCAAGUGAACGAGGAAACCUUAUGAGCCAAAUCGGAGGAAAACGAUGAAGGAAUGAUCUGAGAGUGAAACACCGGCUGAACACAAUCACACACAAGAAUGCGCAUUAAAUAUACCAUAUCUGUCAUCUUUAUUGUGGCUCUGGUCAUCAUAGAAAAGGAAAACAAUAUUAUUUCAAAGGUGUCUGAUAAGCUGACCCCACUGACCCCGCUGGCCCUGCUCAGCCCGUCUCUCCUGUCUGCUCCGCAACACAAUGACUCGGCUGACGUCUCGUCCGACCAACGCAUGAAUCAUCAUCUGGUGAAUUCAACGUGGUCCAUCCAGGAGAGCGUCUUGCCUGCGUCUUCAGCGGGAGGACGAAAACACAUCCUUCUGCUGGCUACGACUCGCACAGGCUCCUCUUUCGUUGGUGAAUUUUUUAACCAGCAGGGAUCAAAUAUGUUUUACCUGUUCGAGCCACUGUGGCACGUGGAGCGCAUGUUAUCGGUCGAGACUGGCGGGACGAACGCCACAGUCGCUGGACCGGCGUAUCGAGACGUUCUGCAUCAGCUGUUCCUCUGUAACUUUUCCCUGCUGGAGAGCUUCAUCGAGCCACCGCCGGAGGAUCAUGUGACCGCUGCGCUCUUCCGCCGCGAAUCUAGCCAGUCUCUGUGUGAAGAAUCCGUCUGCACGCCGUUUGUUAGAAAAGUGUUUGAGCGUUACCAUUGCCGUGAGCGGCGCUGCGGGCCGCUCAACCUCACGCUGGCCUCUCAGUCCUGCAUGCAGAAGGAGCAUCACGCGAUUAAGUCCGUCCGUGUGCGGCAGCUGGAGACACUUCGGCCGCUGGCCGAGGAUCCCAGACUCGACAUGAAGUUCAUCCAGCUGGUCAGGGACCCUCGUGCCGUUCUCGCCUCACGAAUGGUUGCCUUCUCCAGCAAGUACAAGAUCUGGAAGAGGUGGGCCGUGGACGAAGAACUUCCAGUGGACGAGGAUGAAGUGAGAAAACUCAAAGGAAACUGCGACAACAUCCGCAUGUCUGCUGAGAUCGGACUCAAGCAGCCACCGUGGCUUCGUGGACGCUACAUGCUAGUGCGCUAUGAGGACAUCGCGCGAUUCCCCAUGGCCAAAGCUGCAGAGAUGUACAGCUUUAUAGGCAUUCCCUUCACCGAAACGGUGGAAGAGUGGAUCCUAAAAAAUACUCAGGCAUCUAAGGAGGUCAGUGGAGUUUAUUCCACCCAGAAAAACUCUUCUGAACAGGUGGAGAAAUGGAGGUUCAGCAUUCCCUUCAAGCUGGUCCAGCUGGUGCAGAAAGUAUGCGGCCCCACCAUGACUCUGUUCGGCUACAAGUUUGCUGAAAACAAAGAAAUGUUGAUCGAUAAAUCAGUAAGCCUGAUCGAAGAGAGAACAUUCUUAUGAUACUACACAUACUGCAUGAAGAUGGCUGGUGAGAUUUAGGAAGUUGUUCGUGACACAAUUGAAAUGUUAUGCGAAAAAUGAAUGUCAACUUCUUAAGCAGUACUGAACGAUGAAAUUUUUUUAAAUUUGUAUUGAUGGCUAAUAAGUCAAAAGUGAUGUGCCCAUGUUAAUUUUUUGGGUAAAAAUGCAUAGUUUAUUUAGUAGAAAAGAGAAUUGAGUUGAAGGACACAGCAGGUGUUUGAGGUCUUUUCUACUGUAUAUACUGUAUGUGUGUUUGUUUUGGGGGAAAUGAGCUAACAGAUGUUUCUGAGCUGCUUCUGUGUGUUCAAAUAUUCUUUCCUCUUACCUGCUGCUGAGAUAUCAAUUUUUAAAUUUCAAUUUCAAUUUAUUUAUAAAGCACAAUUAAACACAACUACCAUUGACCAAUGUGCUGUACAAAAAAUAACAAAAUAAAACAAAGUCACAAAUAAAAACUACAAGACAUCAGCAGUCAUAUAUUAUAAGACAGAUCAAAUAAAAAGGUUUUUUAACCUGGAUUUAAAAAUGGACAGAGUAGGAGCAGUUCCAGAGUCUUGGAGCAGCUAUAGAAAAUGCUCGAUCUGCCCUAGUCUUGAGCCUAUAGAUCUACGAUCCACCAAGAGCUUCAAAUUAGCAGACCUAAGAGCUCUUGCAGGUUGAUGGACUGUCAGCAGAUCAGAAAGGUCUCUCAUACUCCUGGGUUUCUUCCAGUCAUGUGCUAUCACUUAGCAUUGUGCUGCCUUCGAGGAGGAAGAACCUGCUUGCUGUAGCAGCAGCUAAUCAGCUGUUGCGUUUAUUACUGUGCCGUCUGCUAUUUAGAGCGCCAGUGAAACUCUAACAUGCUCAUUAACGCAGAACCCCUCCUGUAUGUGGUACAGACGAUUUACUCAAACUGACCUCACCCUCCCACCCACACACAGUGAGGCAGCUUUCAGAAGAAUGGCCCCAUGCCUCCAUUCACUCAACUCAAGUGUGUGGAGAUGCAAGCUUAGGUAUAGCAAACACAAUCUCAAACUUUUGCUUUUGAUCUGUAGCUUAUGUGACAAAAUAUGUGUGCAUCUUGCAUCAAGGAAUUUAUAGCUCAAAGACAUUUUAAGCUUCGUGAGGUCUAAAGGAACUGCGUGGUUUGUGUGGGCUGUGUGCAGAGGGUGGAGCAUGUGUAUAUGGUCAAAGCAAAUAUAGAUGAGCCCAACCGCUCUCCACAGUCUCAGAGGCCCCUUUUCUCCUUGCAAGUAAAAUGAGGCCAUUAAGCUCCACCCUGCAGAUAGACCACCACAUCAGAUAAGAAGAGAGCUGUAAUAUAAACUCCUUUGAGGAGAAUGAGUCAGUGCACCAAAAAAAAAAAAAAAAAAAAAAAAAAAAUUAAUAUGGUUUUAUGCUUUUCCAAAAUAUUAUUUAACAUGAAUCAACUCAUUUUAUUAGGUUACAUCAACAAAUGUUUAUGCGUUAAAUCAGGUAGAAAUAGUUAACUAAUGCAUGUUACCAUUUUGUUGCAUUGAGAGUAUUGUGUCGUUCAGGCAAAUUGUAUUUUUCCAAAUGCUGCCUGUAUCCAUUUAUGUGUAAUUAAAGAAGAAAAGAAAAAAAGAAAAUUUUGAAGUGAUGAUUGUGAUGAAGUGAUCAUUUUGUCUGUACUCCUUGUUUUUAAUGACCAUUGAUACUUUUAUUUUUAUUUAUUAACAAAUGCUUUUAUCCAAAACAUACACAUGAAGAUCACAAGCAAUUUGUUAGAAAAGUCACAAUAUUUAUUGUUACACAAUGUUGAGUUAAAAGUAAAAUCAAGAUUACAAAACAAAGCUAGAGAAGUGAAAUGCAGAAACCUUGGUUUAAUGACUUUUUUUAAUCUUUAAGAUGUUAGGUUAAACUUAUAUGGCUUGUCUCCCCUGAUGAGGGGCUUGAUGAAGCAGCUUCAGCUCGGGCUCUGCUCUUGUUAUAUGCCCACAGUGACAAAAUCUAGGAUAUGAUUAGGGCAAGGUACCUGAGGAUGAAGGUGGAGUUUAGGGAGGUGGAGGGAUGCUGGAACAGCUGAGGCUGAAGAGACGUAAGGAGCUGCUAUACUCUGGCUGUUGACUGAAAGAUUAGAUUAGAUGGGUUCAGGAACUUCAUUUAUGGUUGAUGGGAAUGUUAACAAAAAAGGCAGCGGUUAUUCUGGCACAGACUCAGAGUACUUGCAACCGUGUGAGACCUGAAUCCAUAACUGACUCAUUUACAACUAAGGGGAAUAAUUCAUGAAAGACAGUAACUGUACAUAUCCAAUUCUGGAACAUAUCCAAUCCAGAUCCAAUCAUGCUGUAAUGAUUCACAAAGAACAACUGUGAGAGCUACAGUCAAGUUUUACUCUCAUUCCAUUCCCACAUUUGUCCUCAGCUCUACAGUAAGUGAUCUCAAACCUCACGACCGCGUCUGAGAAUGAGGGAAAAUAGCCACACGUACCUGAGCUUGACUGAGCAUAUAAACAAUACCACUGAUUCACCU